rnacentral:rRNA from 1 species
CCUACGGGUGGCAGCAGUGGGGAAUAUUGGGCAAUGGGCGCAAGCCUGACCCAGCAACGCCGCGUGAAGGAAGAAGGCUUUCGGGUUGUAAACUUCUUUUAGGAGGGAAGAGCAGAAGACGGUACCUCUUGAAUAAGCCACGGCUAACUACGUGCCAGCAGCCGCGGUAAUACGUAGGUGGCAAGCGUUGUCCGGAUUUACUGGGUGUAAAGGGCGUGUAGCCGGGCGUACAAGUCAGAUGUGAAAUUCCGGGGCUCAACCCCGGACCUGCAUUUGAAACUGUUGGUCUUGAGUAGCGGAGAGGCAGGCGGAAUUCCUAGUGUAGCGGUGAAAUGCGUAGAGAUUAGGAGGAACACCAGUGGCGAAGGCGGCCUGCUGGACCUCGACUGACGUUGAGGCUCGAAAGCGUGGGGAGCGAACAGGAUUAGAUACCCUUGUAGUC